UACAGAGGUCCCGAGCGUUGUUCGGAUUCACUGGGCGUAAAGCGCUCGCAGGUGGUUCGUCGCGUCGGGCGUGAAAGACCCCGGCUCAACUGGGGAGGGUCGUGCGAUACGGUCGGACUCGAGGCCAGUAGGGGGACGCGGAAUUCCGGGUGUAGUGGUGGAAUGCGUAGAGAUCCGGAGGAACACCAGCGGCGAAGGCGGCGUCCUGGACUGGUACUGACGCUCAGGAGCGAAAGCGUGGGGAGCGAUCCGG
rnacentral:rRNA from 1 species